CCUACGGGUGGCAGCAGUGGGGAAUAUUGGACAAUGGACCGAGAGUCUGAUCCAGCAAUUCUGUGUGCACGAUGAAGUUUUUCGGAAUGUAAAGUGCUUUCAGUUGGGAAGAAACAAAUGACGGUACCAACAGAAGAAGUGACGGCUAAAUACGUGCCAGCAGCCGCGGUAAUACGUAUGUCACGAGCGUUAUCCGGAUUUAUUGGGCGUAAAGCGCGUCUAGGUGGUUAUGUAAGUCUGAUGUGAAAAUGCAGGGCUCAACUCUGUAUUGCGUUGGAAACUGUAUAACUAGAGUACUGGAGAGGUAAGUGGAACUACAAGUGUAGAGGUGAAAUUCGUAGAUAUUUGUAGGAAUGCCGAUGGGGAAGCCAGCUUACUGGACAGAUACUGACGCUGAAGCGCGAAAGCGUGGGUAGCAAACAGGAUUAGAUACCCCAGUAGUC
rnacentral:rRNA from 1 species